UGAUCUAGGGGGACGAGCCCGCAGCUCUAAGAACGGGUAUAAAAACCGUAAAAGUCCUGAGACAAUCCUGAAGUCUGCAGGGUGAGGGACCAGACCUUGGAUCCUGGGGGCAGGGACUGGGUGUUAGGGAUGGGCCUGAAAGUCCUCAGUUACUACGAGAAACAGGGGCGGAGCCUAAACGUUCAGAGGGCGGGACCUCCCUCUCUCUUCCACGCGGAGAUGGAGCUUGUAAUAGACGGCGCUGGGCCCUAAGGGCCUGGCAGUUACCAUUCUGUUUCCAUGAGUUCAGCUGUUUCAAGUUCCACAUGUAAUCUCAUGAAGCAAAGCCAGGAUAUCCUUUGAAUGGAUAUUCUUCUCAGUCUAGCCCGAUCUGUCUUACAGUUAGUGAUGAACACCUAAAGCCAGACUCAAGAAAGAAUUAUUAGUGAAGUUUAACAUCAAAGAGCAUGCAUUCACAAGUGAAUACAACAAAGUUAUGUAUUGCAAACACUGUUUAUAAUAGCCAAAGAAUGGAACUUUCCAAAUACCCAUCAACAGGGGACGACAGUAUAUCCAUGCACUGAAAUACUGUCCACAGGAAAAACAGCCACUGGAUUUUAGAGACUGGUGUGAAAAAAGAAUGUAAAAUAUCUCAAUAAAUUUGUUUAUUACAUAUGGAAA